GUGGGGAAUAUUGGACAAUGGGCGAAAGCCUGAUCCAGCCAUGCCGCGUGUGUGAAGAAGGUCUUCGGAUUGUAAAGCACUUUAAGUUGGGAGGAAGGGCAGUAAGUUAAUACCUUGCUGUUUUGACGUUACCGACAGAAUAAGCACCGGCUAACUUCGUGCCAGCAGCCGCGGUAAUACGAAGGGUGCAAGCGUUAAUCGGAAUUACUGGGCGUAAAGCGCGCGUAGGUGGUUUUGUAAGUUGGAGGUGAAAUCCCCGGGCUCAACCUGGGAACUGCCUCCAAAACUGCAUGACUAGAGUACGGUAGAGGGUAGUGGAAUUUCCUGUGUAGCGGUGAAAUGCGUAGAUAUAGGAAGGAACACCAGUGGCGAAGGCGACUACCUGGACUGAUACUGACACUGAGGUGCUAAAGCGUGGGGAGCAAACAGGAUUAGAUACCCGUGUAGUCC
rnacentral:rRNA from 1 species